rnacentral:rRNA from 1 species
GACGAACGCUGGCGGCGUGCUUAACACAUGCAAGUCAAGGGGGCCCAGCAAUGGGCAACCGGCGAACGGGUGCGUAACACGUGAGCAACCUACCGAACUGUGGGGGAUAGCCGGCCUAACGGCCGAGUAAUACCGCAUACGCUUUCAGUGAGGCAUUUCAUUGAAAGGAAACCUACGGGACAGAUCGAGGGGCUCGCGGCCUAUCAGCUAGUUGGCGAGGUAACGGCUCACCAAGGCAACGACGGGUAGCUGGUCUGAGAGGAUGAUCAGUCACACGGGCACUGAGACACGGGCCCGACUCCUACGGGAGGCAGCAGUAAGGAAUAUUGGUCAAUGGACGCAAGUCUGAACCAGCCAUGCCGCGUGAAGGAUGAAGGCCCUCUGGGUUGUAAACUUCUUUUAUCUGGGAAGAAAUGCUUUGUUUUCUUAACGUAGUUUGACGGUACCAGAGGAAUAAGCACCGGCUAACUCCGUG